rnacentral:rRNA from 1 species
GACGAACCGUGCGAACGUUAUUCGGAAUCACUGGGCUUAAAGCGCGUGUAGGCGGGACGGCACGUCGGUCGCUGAAAUCCCUCGGCUCAACCGAGGAACUGCGUCCGAUACUGAAAGGCUUGAAUCCGGGAGAGGGAUGUGGAAUUCCAGGUGUAGCGGUGAAAUGCGUAGAUAUCUGGAGGAACACCGGUGGCGAAGGCGGCAUCCUGGACCGGCAUUGACGCUGAGGCGCGAAAGCUAGGGGAGCAAACGGG